rnacentral:tRNA from 1 species
GCGGGAAUAGCUCAGGGGAAGAGCACAACCUUGCCAAGGUUGGGGUCCCGAGUUCGAAUCUCGUUUCCCGCUCCA